UACGGAGGAUCCGAGCGUUAUCCGGAUUUAUUGGGUUUAAAGGGUGCGCAGGCGGAAGAUUAAGUCGGUGGUGAAAUUGUGCAGCUCAACUGUAAAAGUGCCAUUGAUACUGGUUUUCUUGAGUGUGGAUGAAGUAGGCGGAAUUUGUGGUGUAGCGGUGAAAUGCAUAGAUAUCACGAGGAACUCCGAUUGCGCAGGCAGCUUACUAAACUACUACUGACGCUCAGGCACGAAGGCGUGGGGAUCAAACAGGAUUAGAUA
rnacentral:rRNA from 1 species